UCGCCCACAAUCUCUUCAACGGUCUCAACACGGAUGUGAUCGGAUGCAGCGUUGGAAAUCUACAACGUAUUGAUUUGCAUUCGACGGUCGGCACGGUGCCGAAUCCCAGCUUCAGGGACAUGUUUGUUGCGGUCGUUGGCCGGUGGAAAAUAGAUCGGCCCAUGUCCCACCCUUGGUCUCCUCGCGCUAACCCCGUAGCGUGUGGUUUUUAGCGGGCUCCAGGCCCGCUUUUUUUU
rnacentral:ncRNA from 1 species